AUGAGAAAACAGCCCUAUUUUGACAUUCGCAACAAUUGACGUGCAUUUAUACAAACAGGUGGUCACAAAGAGAUGAGUAUUUGGACAAAUUGCAACAUUAAUGACAUUUAUAGACUAAUUUAAUUUUAUUUAUUUUCUAUUUCAGGUACUGGAGGAUCAUCGUCGUCGUCUGGAGCAGUGUGGAUGGCACAGGGCGCAUCCGCCUCAGCGCUGGAUGUGCACGUGUGUGUGAUGCAGCAGAUCACGCAUCUGCGGCAUCAGAAUUGGCAGAGGCAGGAUCCAGGAGUUGGCGUGAAUGGUGAUGGUGUUUGGCGAGCGACUCUGGUCCGGCCGCCCAUGUUGCUUUUACCUGGAGAUCUGGGGAUUGGCACUGGCCAAUCGGGGUGCGUUGACCAGUGGAAAUGGCCGCAAAUGAGUGCGGAUUGUCUGCAUCCGAGUGGCUGCUGGUCCGGCCACCCAGGAUACACUGCCGAUGUAGUUGGAGAGUCGUCUGUAUUGGCUGGCCUCGUCGUUGGAUUGCCGCUGCUGUUUUGUGAUGAUGAUGGCGUGACGUCAUGGCCAUCGGUUGACGGCAGCGUAAUCGGAGGGGCGUCCGAAUUGGGCCCAACUUGCAACAAAAUGUUGCGGUUGGUGGCGAGGCAGGUACUGGAGAGGCUGAUCUGUGAGUGUAUUGACAGGUAAGUGUGAUUAGUAGAAGUAUUGGCUAUUUUGUGUUGAUGCGUGAAUUGAUGUUUUCCUUCUUUUAGCGGCAGCCUGGAUGUUGAUGGCGACGACGAUAGGGACUUCAAAUUUCGCCCAUUUGGCAGGAAUUGGAUGGAAUUGGAUUGGCUGCUCUGGACCUGUGCGGUGGAUUGUCAGGAGCGUCGUCAAUAAAUCCUAAAAUGUCGUCCAAUUGGCAUCAGAUGUGUGGUGUUGAUGACGGGGCAGCUGCUGAAGGGGCAGAUCUGUCGGAGGCGUGGCAGGUACGUGUGAUUAUUUUGGUGUUUUGUCCAUAUUUUGUUGGUAUGCGAAUUUACGUCAUUUUGUUUUAUUUCAGUGGCUGCUCUGGACCUGUGCGGUGAAUUAUCAGGAGAGUCGUCAAUAUAUUCCAAGAAUGUCGUCAAAUUAGCAGCAAAGGUUUGGUCUAUUUGUCGUGGCAUCUGCUGGUGGGGCAGCUCUGCCGAUGGCGUGUCAGGUGAUGGCUGCCUCAGGACCGACUUUUGGGCUCAUCAAAAGACGUCAGAGUAGUAGCUAUCGUAGGCGUCUAUGAUCUCCGCUAUCUCGUCGUCAAAUCAAUCGUCGUCCGUCCACAGGUCGUCGCCAUCGUCGCUGAGUGCUUCGCAGUCCAUAUCAGAGUCCUCCGAUACGGCUGCGGCGUCAGGUUGUGUAUUGGCGGCGGGUCUUGUAGGUGUUGGUGCUGCUGCUGGUGUCUGUGUUGGAGGAUUGGCCACUGCUGAGCCACUGCCCUUUGCUUCCGUCAGGUUUUUUAAUUAAUGUGAUUUCCACACACUUGCCAUCGCAUUGGAUGGCUGGAUGCCCAGCCGUUCCAGCUCCUCAGUAAUCCAGCUGCUUGGCGUAGUG